UCAGCCCAGAGCCUGACACAUGGAUACUGGUCCAUGUGUUUUCCUUUUCAUUUGUCUCCGUGUAUUCUUUGAUUUCCUCCUUGAUUCCUUGUUGACCCGUUCAUUGUUUAGCAGCAUGAACUUAACCUCCAUGUAUUUGUGGUUUUUUUCCAGAUUUUUUCUUGCGGUUGAUUUCCAGUUUCAUAGCAUUGUGGUCAGCAAAGA